rnacentral:tRNA from 2 species
GUUUUAAUAGUUUAAGAAAAACAUUGGUCUUGUAAACCAAAGAUAAAAAAACCUUUUAAAACU